UGUUGCCUCGGCGGAUCAGCCCGCUCCCGGUAAAACGGGACGGCCCGCCAGAGGACCCCUAAACUCUGUUUCUAUAUGUAACUUCUGAGUAAAACCAUAAAUAAAUCAAAACUUUCAACAACGGAUCUCUUGGUUCUGGCAUCGAUGAAGAACGCAGCAAAAUGCGAUAAGUAAUGUGAAUUGCAGAAUUCAGUGAAUCAUCGAAUCUUUGAACGCACAUUGCGCCCGCCAGUAUUCUGGCGGGCAUGCCUGUUCGAGCGUCAUUUCAACCCUCAAGCCCCCGGGUUUGGUGUUGGGGAUCGGCGAGCCCUUGCGGCAAGCCGGCCCCGAAAUCUAGUGGCGGUCUCGCUGCAGCUUCCAUUGCGUAGUAGUAAAACCCUCGCAACUGGUACGCGGCGCGGCCAAGCCGUUAAACCCCCAACUUCUGAAUGUUGACCUCGGAUCAGGUAGGAAUACCCGCUGAACUUAAGCAUAUC
rnacentral:rRNA from 1 species